AGACUCCUACGGGAGGCAGCAGUAGGGAAUCUUGCGCAAUGGGCGAAAGCCUGACGCAGCAAUGCCGCGUGCGGGACGAAGGCCCUAGGGUCGUAAACCGCUUUCAGUAGGGACGAAAAUGACGGUACCUGCAGAAGAAGCUCCGGCCAACUACGUGCCAGCAGCCGCGGUGAUACGUAGGGAGCAAGCGUUGUCCGGAAUUACUGGGCGUAAAGGGCUCGUAGGUGGUUGAGUAAGCCAGAUGUGAAAUCUCAGGGCCCCAACCCUGAGCCUGCAUUUGAUACUGCUCUGACUAGAGUCCGGUAGGGGAGUGCGGAACUCCUGGUGUAGCGGUGAAAUGCGCAGAUAUCAGGAAGAACACCGACAGCGAAGGCAGCACUCUGGGCCGGUACUGACACUGAGGAGCGAAAGCAUGGGUAGCAAACAGGAUUAGAUACCCUGGUAGUCCAUGCCGUAAACGUUGGGCACUAGGUGUGGGGAGAACUCAACUCUCUCCGCGCCGUAGCUAACGCAUUAAGUGCCCCGCCUGGGGAGUACGGCCGCAAGGCUAAAACUCAAAGGAAUUGACGG
rnacentral:rRNA from 1 species